GAUGAACGCUGGCGGCGUGCCUAACACAUGCAAGUCGAACGAAGCGCCUUACCUGAUUCUUCGGAUGAAAGUUUGGUGACUGAGUGGCGGACGGGUGAGUAACGCGUGGGUAACCUGCCCUGUACAGGGGGAUAACAGCUGGAAACGGCUGCUAAUACCGCAUAAGCGCACGAGGAGACAUCUCCUUGUGUGAAAAACUCCGGUGGUACAGGAUGGGCCCGCGUCUGAUUAGCUGGUUGGCAGGGUAACGGCCUACCAAGGCAACGAUCAGUAGCCGGUCUGAGAGGAUGAACGGCCACAUUGGAACUGAGACACGGUCCAAACUCCUACGGGAGGCAGCAGUGGGGAAUAUUGCACAAUGGGGGAAACCCUGAUGCAGCAACGCCGCGUGAGUGAAGAAGUAUUUCGGUAUGUAAAGCUCUAUCAGCAGGGAAGAUAAUGACGGUACCUGACUAAGAAGCUCCGGCUAAAUACGUG
rnacentral:rRNA from 1 species